CCCUCCCCCUGCCCCACCGCCUGCAGGACUGCGGAGGGCCCCAGGAAGGCCCCCACAGGCUGAAGCACAGCAGCCGAGCCGCCCCGUGAACAGAAGGUGCCGCCAGUCGAAGGGGAGCCUCCGGCUUCUGCAGUCAUCCGGGACAGGCCGAGGGGCUGAGUAAGACGUCAAGAGAGGCUCAGCGUCAGCCUGGAAACAGCCACACGCCACGAUGUCCGCGGCGAAGGCCUGACCUGCCGGUGUCCGCGUGCCGGUGCCCUCGCUGAGGCGGGGACAGGCGGCCGAGACCUCCGGGCUGCGGGAAGGCUCCAUGGCAGAGGCCCCGGGACCCCCACUGUGUUCUUCUGCCCUCACAUCGGUGGGCUGGGGCUUCUUCCUUUCGUUUACAAGGGAUGGACACACAGGGGGCACCUGGAGGGCUCAGUGGGGUAAGCGUCGGGCUCGUGGUCUCGGCCCGGGUCCUGAUCUCACAGUUUGUGGGUUCAAGCCCCGAGUCAGUGAGGGCGCGGAGCCCGCUAGGGAUCCUCUCUCUCCCUGUCUCUGCUCCUUCCCGCUCUCAUGCUCGCUUGCUCCCUCUCCCGCUCUCUCCAGAAAGAAGGGGGCUGAGCACACUGCAGUGAGGGUCCAGCACCACUUGCUGGAACUCGGCAGGGUGGGCCCAGGGCCGCAGGGAGCCUGCCGACAAAGGGCUCUGUCCCAAAGGCCUGAAGACUCAGAACAGGAAGUAGGCUCAGGGCCCCGGCUGCGCACAGCCCUCCUGUCCCCCCACCCGCUGGAAGGGGUGUAGGUGACGGCUUCUUGGCAGGCCACUGAAGAUACCCAUCCUGCCACGGUGCACAGGGCCGGAGGGCUGAGGAAGAAGAGGGGACAGGGGCGGGCGCCCUGGCCCUUCGAGCAGUGGGGGGGAGUCUGUCUUCCAAGGGGAGGGCUUGUGCUCCGUGAAGUCCGUGGGGGCGACUCGUUGGAGCCAGGAAAAUCCCCGCCUGGGGCCCAGCCUCGGAGCUGCCCGCACACUGACCACAGCGGCUGACUCAGUCCCCAAAGGGACACGGGAAGCUCCUGGAACUCUUGGUUCCUCAGCCAAAGGCCUGGCCCAGGGGCAUGGGCCCUCCCCACCCACUGCCUCCACCUGUGACUCCUGCACCGGCCGGCAUUUCCUGAGGUCCUGGACCCGGACAACUGUGACUCAGGUGCCAGUCCCCGCAGAAGACGGCUCCGGCCCCGGGCUGUCUGAUCCGGACAUCAGUUCUGGCUUCCUCCCAGGGCAGGGUGACUGGCUUCACCAAUCGUGCGUCUGGAUCCGUCAGUAACUCUGGAGUCCUAAACCGGUACCAGGAACUAAACUCACCAACCAGUAACCAAACCAGUAACCAGUAACUAAGGCUCAGAACCUUAGCACAACAUAGUCCUCAGUACCCUCGAGUACUUAGGGGUAAGAGAACCAAAUCCAUGAAAUCCAACAGGUAUUUUAGGUAAAGCUGAUGUCAGCUGAGAGCUGGUGUGGUAAGAGGUCCUGGCUGGGACCUGAGGCACACGUUGGGCCGCAAUGGUCAGGAUGGGGGGCAGGGUCUUCUCCCCCCCGCACCCCCAUGCCACUCUCCAUCUACGGCCUGUUGACCGCAAGCAUGCAAGUGCCUAAACCGGCCUUGACCCCCGCCCACCUUCCUCCUCCGAGGGGCUUGAGAGAAGGGAUUCAGGGCCAGAGGCCAACCGCUGAUGAUAAUGACGUGACCCCCUCAGCUCCCGCAGCCGGUGGGAACCCACAGCAGCAACAAUGUGGCACCUCUGAGCCCUGGGCAAGGCCACUAUAGUGAGGGGAGGGGCUGCCCGAAUUCCUGGAUUCUUGCCAUGAAGCCUCUACUGGCCAGAAAUACAAACGGUGCUCCCACUAAUUACGGGCACAGAGGAAAUGCUGUCUUUCCGUGGGUCUGAACUGCCUGCUGCAAAUGUCCACGGUCCUGGGCACACGUGCCCCAGCUCAGUGUGCAGUGGACAUGCCUGAGGAGGAGAGGCGGCGGGAGGGUGCCAGAGACCACGGGCAGAGUGCCCAAGACAGCGACGACCACGCGUGGCUGGCCAGGGCACGGAGUGGCCACUCUGAGGACACGCAGCUGAGUGACACCUCUUCCUGACCACCAGCACCAGGGCCUGGGACUGAGGCGGCCAACACGAGAUGCUGCCGGUGUGGUGGGCACAGGGCUCCCUGGACUGCUGCUCCCCAAAACGCAGCCAUGGGACCAGGACGUCAAUGAAACAGCAACUCUAUCUGGCUUUUGUUUUUUUAAUUUCUAAAUUUGUAUUUAAGAAAAACAGAUUGUUUUAUUAACAUUUUUUAGCCCGUGAUGACACAGGAAGUUAAAUAAAGGCUCGUUUUUGCCUCUGG